CACGUAGGGGACGAGCGUUGUCCGGAUUCAUUGGGCGUAAAGCGCGCGUAGGCGGCUGCUCAAGUCGAAUGUGAAAACUCGAGGCUCAACCUCGAGCCUGCAUUCGAUACUGGGCGGCUAGAGUCUGGUAGGGGGAUCUGGAAUUCCUGGUGUAGCGGUGGAAUGCGCAGAUAUCAGGAGGAACACCGGUGGCGAAGGCGGUUCUCUGGGCCUGUACUGACGCUGAGGAACGAAAGCGUGGGGAGCGAACAGG
rnacentral:rRNA from 1 species